rnacentral:rRNA from 1 species
AUUAGCCAUGCAUGUCUAAGUAUAAGCUCUUGUACGGCUAGACUGCAGACGGCUCAUUACAACGGUUGUAUCUUCCAGGGCAUCCGGGUCGCAAGACCUUCUGGAUAACCGCAGUAAAUCGGGGCUAAUACAUACAAACGGAGGGAUGGAGAGGGCAACCUUGAAGUUUCUGCGAUGGACAAUUAGUUAUUCGACCAACCCCGCAAGGGAAUGGUUGGAACCGGUUCAUAUUGCUAAUCGACUCUAGCUUGCUAGUAGUCUGAUAAGCCCUAUAGACAACCGCCCUAUCAACUUGAUGGUAAGGUUUUGGCUUACCAUGGUUGUAACGGGUAACGGGGAAUCAGGGUUCGAUUCCGGAGAGGACGCCUGAGAAACGGCGUCCACAUCUACGGGUGGCAGCAGGCGCGUAAAUUGCCCAAUCUCAACAGAGAGGAGGCGGUGACAAUAAAUCCCGAUGGCUUUGGGGGCAACCCCAGGCUAAUCAGAAUAAGUACACAUUAAAUCCCUUAACCAAUAUAAUUGGAGGGCAAGUCUGGUGCCAGCAGCCGCGGUAAUUCCAGCUCCAAUAGCAUAUACUAAUGUUGUUGCAGUUAAAACGCUCGUAGCUUAAUAUCUUUUGAGCUACUAUCGACUGUUAUCUCUCUGGAUCUUCGGUGAAGGAGGGAGGCAGUCGGCUCAAACACUGUAGGUCAUGCGGCUAGCAAUAGUUGCAUAAUCGACUGUGCAUAAACCUUGAUGCUCAAGGUAGGCCUUUAUAGGGUAGAUACACAGUGCAUGGCAUUGUGGAACAAGGCAUCUCGCG